AGUGUCAAGUGCCAAGUGAUGGACUUAGCAUCGCCAAAUGUUUGCUCAACAUCACUGCGGCGACACGCCCACCAGAGGAGCCAGAGCCCACAGAAGGUGGAUGGAUUGUUGUCGUUGGAUCAGUGGCAGCAGCUCUAGUAGUUCUAGCUUCUCUUGUUGCUGUAGCAGCAUUCGUUUGUCAAGCCCAUUGUCUUGGAAAAAAACAAAGUCCAGACCAGCAGGAAACUGACACCGCUGAGAGGUCUGUCCUGCAGAAUGGCAAAGAAACUACCUAUGAACUCCAGACUGUUGAGGGACAAUCCCCCACUCCAGAAUGCGGGGUUUAUUGACCACAAGAUCAUUAUCUCCAGGGGCACUAAUGUCAGCCAAAUCAGUGACAGCUGGUUGCCAAGUAUUUUCUCCAGGUCAAAAACUCUCACUUUCCGUUAACUCGGGGUUAACAAACUUGGGGUUACUCUUUAAAGCUGAAUCUGUGAAAUACUUUUCCCAUUUUGUCAGUCAGUCACUUAGAGUUUUUACUGAAGGAGGAUUUGUUGGUUAUUCAUGUGGCAAAUGAGUCCACAACAGGGUCAAAUUGGACCUAGAAAACCUCCAAAAAAUAGGUGCCAAAAGUCAUCGUUCAGGCUUCAGUAAGGA